rnacentral:rRNA from 1 species
UCUUUUGACCUUCGGAUCCAGGUAGGGGAUACCCCGCUGAACUUUAACCAUAUCAAAUAAGCGGGAGGAAAAGAAACCAACCAGGGGAUUGCCCUAGUAACGGGCGAGUGAAGCGGCAACCAGCUCAAAUUUGAAAUCUGGCCCCCCCAUUGGGGGUCCGAGUUGUAAUUUGCAGAGGGGGCUUUGGCAUGGGCGGCGGUCUAAGUUCCUUGGAACAGGACAUCGCAGAGGGUGAGAAUCCCGUAUGUGGGCGCCUGCCUUUGCCGUGUAAAGCCCCUUCGACGAGUCGAGUUGUUUGGGAAUGCAGCUCUAAAUGGGAGGUAAAUUUCUUCUAAAACUAAAUACCGGGCCAGAGACCGAUAGCGCACAAGUAGAGUGAUCGAAAGAAGAAAAGUACUUUGGGAAAGAGAGUCAAAAUAAGCACGUGAAAUUGUUGAAAGGGAAGCGCUUGCAGCCCGACGUGCCCGCAGUUGCUCACCCCGGCUUUUGCCUGGGGCCCUUUUUUGUGGGCAGGCCAGCAUCAAGGGGGGGCGGUCGGAUAAAGGCCUCUGUCCAAGUUU